UACGUAGGGGGCAAGCGUUGUCCGGAAUUAUUGGGCGUAAAGGGCUCGUAGGCGGUUUGUCGCGUCGGGAGUGAAAACCCAGGGCUUAACCCUGGGCUGGCUUUCGAUACGGGCAGACUAGAGGUAUGCAGGGGAGAACGGAAUUCCUGGUGUAGCGGUGAAAUGCGCAGAUAUCAGGAGGAACACCGGUGGCGAAGGCGGUUCUCUGGGCAUUACCUGACGCUGAGGAGCGAAAGUGUGGGGAGCGAACAGG
rnacentral:rRNA from 1 species